AUUGAACGCUGGCGGCAGGCUUAACACAUGCAAGUCGAGCGGAGAUGAGGUGCUUGCACCUUAUCUUAGCGGCGGACGGGUGAGUAAUGCUUAGGAAUCUGCCUAUUAGUGGGGGACGACAUUCCGAAAGGAAUGCUAAUACCGCAUACGUCCUACGGGAGAAAGCAGGGGAUCUUCGGACCUUGCGCUAAUAGAUGAGCCUAAGUCGGAUUAGCUAGUUGGUGGGGUAAAGGCCUACCAAGGCGACGAUCUGUAGCGGGUCUGAGAGGAUGAUCCGCCACACUGGGACUGAGACACGGCCCAGACUCCUGCGGGAGGCAGCAGUGGGGAAUAUUGGACAAUGGGGGGAACCCUGAUCCAGCCAUGCCGCGUGUGUGAAGAAGGCCUUAUGGUUGUAAAGCACUUUAAGCGAGGAGGAGGCUACUGAGACUAAUACUCUUGGAUAGUGGACGUUACUCGCAGAAUAAGCACCGGCUAACUCUGUGCCAGCAGCCGCCGUAACAC
rnacentral:rRNA from 1 species